rnacentral:tRNA from 1 species
UCCCUGGUAGCUCAGUCAGUAGAGAACCUACCUGCAAUGUGGGGGACAUAGGUUCAAUACCUGGUUUGGGAA